UAGAAUACGAAGAGCCACAUGUACCCUAGCGCCGCAUAGUGAGGUGAUUCAGUACUAAAUUGUCUACUAUGUAGAAGCCUUGAGCAUCCUGAACAAGUUUGCUGAACACCGCAACCCUCUAGCAGGUCGGAAUCGUGAGAUUAGUUGAGUUUGGAAUACCACAAAUUGUGUGCCCACAAGCGCCACGUAGCGGUAAAAUUUCACACUGAAUUUGCCACCAUACAGUAGCCUUUGACCUUCUGAACAAGUUUGCUGAAAACCGCAAUUUUCUAGGUGAUGCUAAACUUUUCGGGAGGUGUUGCAAUAUUCAAACUGGGUGUUGCAAUACUCAGUAAAGCGAUUCCAAACUUAUGACGGCUGGGAUCCACAGAAAAUAAUAAAAUAAUCGGUCUAGCUUCGCCAUUGUUGCUGUGCCAAUCACUGAUGCCCGGGGAAGCGACUCCACCAGAACCCUAAUUGACAACACGUUUAUUAACGGACAGGCGACAACGGCUUUACUUCCUCAUGCGAUGAAAGGCGUGAUCCCAGAGAUUUUUCGCCUCAGCGUGGUUGGCGGAGAUGUUACCAACUACG